rnacentral:hammerhead_ribozyme from 2 species
ACGCGAAACCGCACCCGGGCCUUGUCCCGGGUGGUGGUCGGCCGGGCGUGGUGGCCCGGUCCUGAUGAGCAGCCGGAG